rnacentral:tRNA from 1 species
GCAGUGGUGGCUCAGGGGUAGAACCGUCACCUUCCACGUGGGAGACCCGGGUUCGAUUCCUGGCCUGUGCC